rnacentral:rRNA from 1 species
CAGCCGCCGCGGGAAUACGUAGGGUGCAAGCGUUAAUCGGAAUUACUGGGCGUAAAGCGCACGCAGGCGGUUUGUUAAGUCAGAUGUGAAAUCCCCGAGCUUAACUUGGGAACUGCAUUUGAAACUGGCAAGCUAGAGUCUUGUAGAGGGGGGUAGAAUUCCAGGUGUAGCGGUGAAAUGCGUAGAGAUCUGGAGGAAUACCGGUGGCGAAGGCGGCCCCCUGGACAAAGACUGACGCUCAGGUGCGAAAGCGUGGGGAGCAAACAGGAUUAGAUACCCCGGUAGUCCCUGUCUCUUAUAC